rnacentral:lncRNA from 1 species
CAGCAACCGACAUGUUUCCUUGUCAGGCCUGAGUUGAUAAGGCAGAUGCUAAGUACCAGGAGGCUUCACUUUGGUCAUCUGAUGGCCUGAAUGUUCUUUGUGUUGAACUAGGUUCACAUUGAUGGUUGUCUUGUCCAAUUAAUAUUUCUUUAAUAAACCAAUCAAUUUAGAAAAGUAAUUGCUCAAGCUCACUGUUGGGCAAGAGAAGUCUUCCCCAAAGCCCAUGGGGACACCUCUUUCCAGCCUUUGUUAUUUCACCUAGGAGGUCACAGGUCUAGCCUAUGACAGUACCAGUUUCAUGAUGGGUCCAAUAUGCUCCUGCCUACACAGAAUAAAUAUUGAGUCUCACAACCAAAGAGUUCCAGUGACGAUCUUGAUCCACCAUAGCCAAGUUAAAGAGACUGGGUUUGCUCCUUCCCUGUGGAUCUGAGCUUUCCAUUUGAGCUGUUCUUGAGCAGAAUUAGUCUCUAUCCAAGUCUAUUACAGAGUUACCUGCCUGAUCCCAGCAUUCCUCAAGCUUUGAGCAUCUGGAGAUUUUCCAAAUAAUGUCUUCAUCCCAGAAAGCAUCUUCAAUGCCAUAAUCAAGCAUUCUCUAAUUUGCUAUUUCCAUUCAGUUGAAUUAAGUGCCUACUUUACAUAAAUAGUACUAGUUCCUUCUGGAGAAGUGUGUUUAUUGGCACCAUACACGUAAAACAUCUUGGCUGUGUCUCAUAAAAAGCCUUGAUUGGUGUGUAUGUAAGCUUUUAAUGAACGUCUGAGAGAGUAAAUGAAGCAGUCAAGUCCACAUAUUUUCUGUU